rnacentral:lncRNA from 1 species
CUCCUCCUCCUCCUCCGCCUCCUCCUCCUCCUCCUCCGCUUCUGGCUUCUCCUCCUUCUUCUCAGGCUCAUCACAACAACUUUUACACCUCCUCCUCCUCCUUUUCUUCUUCUUCUUCUUCUUUUUUUUUUUUUAUGGCGUCUCGCCCAGCCUGGAGUGCAGAGGCAGUCUUGGCUCACUGCAACCUCCACCUCCGGGGUUCAACUGAUUUUCCCGCCUCAGCCUGCUGAGUAGCUGGGAUUACAGGCACCCUCAUCAAGUCCGGCUAAUUUUUGUAUUUUUAGUAGAGACAGGGUUUCACCAUGUUGGCUAGGCUGGUCUUGACCUCCUGACCUCGGGUGAUCCUCCUGCCUCGGCCUCCCAAAAUGCUGGGAUUACAGGCGUGAGCCACCACGCACGGCUUCUGUUGUUCGUUGAAAUCAUCAUUUUUCUAAUGUCCUCAUUCUCUGCUGGCUAGUUUAAGGGCUGAUUCAAAAAAUAAAUUUUCACACUGUGAAAUACGCAAGAUGAAGAGAACAUUUAUAAAAUAUCCAUACUGUGCAUCUCUGAAUAAUCUUUUCUUCACAUCAGCGGCAGUACAAAUUAGGUGGAGUUUUAAAAGAUACUUCAGCAACUUACAGAUUACAGCAUGUUAUGUAUCUUCAAGAUAUUUUGCUUCAUUGGUGUGCUUGAACAUUUCUGGAUUCCUAGACUCCCAGAAAGCAGUGAGAGGAUAUUACGUUGCAGAAUUUGGUCAGAAUAUGAAGUUUGGAAGACCCUAUAUUCCUGCAGAUCCUUGGAUUGAGGUUAAUUCGAGAGCAAGCCGUGAGUGAGAAAUCUGCCAUCAAAACCAAGUCACUGGCCCUACCACAUUUGCUACAACUCUGAUAUUCCACAUUUUACAAAGUUCAUGUCUAGCUGCUUCAUGUCAGAACGCUAGAACUCUGUACGAUGCCUUGCAGAAAUCUCACUUGUGGGAGCAGACAGAAUGGACAGGCUGUAUGAAUUCCUCAUAAGUAGCGUGGAGACCUUGGGCCUCCCCAGCCUUGCUUAAUAAUUUCAUGGAGUAGAGAUGACGGAUGCCAGCUCACAGAUUUGUUUUGAGUGCUAAAUGCAGAGCAACCAGCCUUGGAGAGCUUCUUGGGAAUCUUUGGUUCCUCUUGCCCUUUCAGGAAAGGAUGAAUGUGUGUAAACAAAGAAACAAAAUUUGAGCAGGUUUGAGGCUGCAGGGUGAAGGCAUUUCUUUCAGUUGGCUCUGGGAGCACCUGCAGACCUCGAAUCCUUCACUCUUCCUCCUUUCUUCCAAGAACUCACUACGCUUUCCAUCCUCCUUUCCUCCAUGAGACAAAGCACCCUCCAGAAUGAUGCUAAGUGCAGUACCUCCAUGCUCAAAAGCUGCUGAUAUCAACAUUGGCCUGUUAAUAAAAUAUGGAACCUUCAGACUGACUCUCCAGGUUCUAUGUGCACGCCAGCUUGGGCACAGUCCUCACCGCUGCCCGGCGGGUCCUCCCUGUCCUUACCAAACUGUGCUGCUUGCCAUCCUCUGAAUAUGGCCCCACAUGUGCUUCUGCUCUGCCCAGCCAUCCACUGGAGGGGUAUCUCAUCGUCCCACCUCCGCCCAAGGAAAACCUGCCUGCUCUCAGAACCUGCCUCAGUCCGUCAGGUUGAUGAAGUCUAAUUUGGUUCAGCUUUCAGAGAUUCCUGGUAGUUUUAAACUGAAAAGUUCAUAAGUGUUGUGGGGGCCAUUGCCAUUUCACCUCGGAGAUGAGAUAACUGAUGUUCAGAUCUAAAAGAUUCUAAGAGAGUCGCACUCUGCUAAGUCCCAUAGCAUUUUAGGGAAAACUACUAAAUAUAUUGAAGAUACUUGUGUACAUUUAUUAGUUCCUGUUAUGGGCCGAAUUUUGUCUCUCUUCUCCGGGUAAAUUCAUGUUUGAAGCCCUAAUUUCAAUGUGACUGUAUUUGGAUAUACAGCCUUUAAAGGGUGUAAUUAAGGCUAAAUAGGUUCAUAAGGGUGGGGCCUAAUCCAAUAGGACUGAUAUCCUCAUAAGAAGAGGAAGAGACCUCAGGGACGCUUGAGCACAGAGGAAAGGCCACGUGAGGGCAGACAAGGCAGCAUCUGCCAGGCAAUGAGAGAGGCCUCAGGAGAAACUGCAGGCACCUUGAUCCUGGACUUCCAGACUCCAGAACUGUGAGAGAAUAAAUGUCUGUUGUUUAAGGACCCCAGUCUGUGAUACUCAUUAUGGCAGACCUAGUUGACAAAUACGGCUCACCUAUGAAAUGUAAAGCUCCAUCAUGCAGUCUUUGAAUCUCCCAGGGUUCUGAGAUAUGAUUUAAUAAAUAUUUGUAGAAUGACAAAAUUUUAUCUGUGAUGACUAUGUCACACACACACACACACACACACACACACACACACACACACCCCUUUAGGCCACCCACUGUGUCACAUUCCUCUCCCUUCUUUCCUUGAAAGCACUGCUUCCAAGGAAAGAAUAAUCACUUUACUUGGAAAUAAAUUAUCCUCUAAAUUAGAAAUAUGUGCCUUUCAAAAUUUGAAUAUCAAUCUCUGUAGGUGAAUUUUAUCUCCCUUUAUGCUUUACAAGUAGGUUUACUUGCCCCACGGAGUGCCACAUUGGUCCAGAUAAUAAAUUAAUACCAUUUGAUUGUAAAUACAAUAUAAACCUUUUUGAAACAGGUCUCAUUCUCAAGUUAUUUGUUGUUUAGAAAAGUCUUAUUUCAAUGACCAGAAACGUAAAACUGGUACUGUUUCAAACAGGCCUGCAACACACAAUUUAUCAUUGAAUAAAAUGUAUUUAUAUUAUGGCCAAAUGGAUUAUCAUUGAAGCAGAAGUGAUUGAGUGAAGUAGUUUAGAAAAAUGUCUGGCUAUUUAAAAUAAAUUUGAGAACUUUAUGACAUUGUUUUAUUCAUCAGAAAGAAUUACAUGUAGAUUUAAACAAAAAAAUCAAGAUUUUCAAAAGGAAAUAAAUGCCUUCUGCCAGAUCUACCACACUUUAAGCCCUCUAAAACCAGCAUAUUCCUUAUUAGCUUCAUUGCUCAGACCAUGUUUAUUUUCUAAGUGAAUGGUAUUACAGGGCUUGUGAUCACAGUAUUAAGACCUGAAGUAUUAUGACCAUUACUAUGUGGAACAUAUUUCUUUGGAGUCCAAAGAUUUUCCACAUGCAUUAAUUUCCCCCCUUUCUCAAAUGUGUGCUCUGUGG